rnacentral:rRNA from 1 species
AUACGGAGGGUGCAAGCGUUACUCGGAAUCACUGGGCGUAAAGCGCGCGCAGGCGGCUAUUUAAGUUGGAUGUGAAAGCCUACGGCUCAACCGUAGAACUGCAUCCAAAACUAUUUAGCUAGAGUGUGGGAGAGGAAGAUGGAAUUAGUUGUGUAGGGGUAAAAUCCGUAGAGAUAACUAGGAAUACCAAAAGCGAAGGCAAUCUUCUGGAACACUACUGACGCUGAGGCGCGAAAGCGUGGGGAGCAGACAGGAUUAGAUACCCUAGUAGUCC